rnacentral:tRNA from 1 species
AAUUGUAUAGUCAAUAAUGAUACUGAAUUGCAAAUUUGGAGGAGAAAAUAUUUUCUACAAUUU